AACCCAAAGGCAGAGUGAAAGCGAAGGCCGCCCUCCUAGGGGGCCUAGGUGGGAUCCCCGGUCGGCUGGCUGGGGCGCACCACCGGCCCGUCUGGACACUUCCCACGCUGAAGUCAGGCGGAGCUAGAGCGUACACGUUGGGACCCGAAAGAUGGUGAACUAUGCCUGAGCAGGCUGAAGCCAGGGGAAACCCUGGUGGAGGGCCGUAGCGAUUCUGACGUGCAAAUCGAUCGUCUGACUUGGGUAUAGGGGCGAAAGACUAAUCGAACCAUCUAGUAGCUGGUUCCCUCCGAAGUUUCCCUCAGGAUAGCAGGCGCUCGAGGGAUCAGUUUUAUCCGGUAAAGCGAAUGAUUAGAGGCCUUGGGGUCGAAACGUCCUCAACCUAUUCUCAAACUUUAAAUGGGUAAGAAGCCCCGGUCUCCCGAUCGGACUGGGGUAGUUGUCGAAUGAGAGUGCCUAGUGGGCCACUUUCGGUAAGCGGAACUGGCGCUGUGGGAUGAACCAAACGCCCGGUUAAGGUGCCUAACUCUGACGCUAAUCAGAUACCAUAAA
rnacentral:rRNA from 1 species